rnacentral:sRNA from 1 species
UUCAUGAAUUAAUUUUUUUUCUUGCCUACUCCUCCCAUUCCAUCUGCUUUCUGCGAUUCCUUCUCUUUCCUUAUUCUAGACAAAAGAGUGAUUUAAAAUAAAUUAAGGAGUAAGAGGGAAAGGAAAGAGGGUUGGUGGGAGUUACGGGUAUGGGAGGAUUGGACAGGAUUGCUUGGUUUUAAUUAACCAAAGCUUACUCUUUCCAACGCCUCCCAUACCGGUGAUCUCCAGCUGUUUCCUCCCCUUCCCUAGCUUGUCCUGCUCAAAACCUUCAAUUCACAUAUCCCCCAAUUUGGUAAAAACUGCCUUUGUAUGAUUGGCCUUGGUCACAUGAUGAUGACCAAGCUAUUUCUUUCCUUUCUUCUUUUUUUUUAAAUAAAGUAUUGUCCUUUCCGGGACUGGUUUAUCUUGUUUUUGGGAGGGAGGUUGUUAUAUGGCUUGAAGAAUGAUUUUUUUUCCCUCUUUGAGGUUAAAAAAAAAAAAGCUAGUGGUUGGUAAUGAAAUACCGUUAAAAAAAUUAAAGGAAUUUUUGAUUGGUUGAUAGAUCUGGGUAAUUCAUUUGUUAAUCUUGCAAAAUUAGGAUAACCAACUGAUAAAGCAUGGGGCAUGGAAAGAGAACUGAGACAUACCUAACAUAUUUGUUACUCCCUCAUUCAGGCGGGGGGGGCUGACUUAUACAGACCGGACUGCUUAGCACGGACGGUCAGUGACUAAUUAUUUCAGGAAGGAAUUUAUUGCGAGC